rnacentral:lncRNA from 1 species
GGCACAAUGGGUCAGUGGCACAAUGGGUCAAUGUGAGGCACAAAUGGGGUUCAGAUGUGGGCACAAUGGGGUCAAUGUGGGGCACAAUGGGGUCAAUGUGGGGCACAAUGGGGUCAGUGGGGCACAAUGGGGUCAGAUGUGGGGCACAAUGGGGUCAGAUGUGGGGCACAAUGGGGUCAGAUGUGGGGCACAAUGGGGUCAAUGUGGGGCACAAUGGGGUCAGAUGUGGGGCACAAUGGGGUCAAUGUGGGGCACAAUGGGGUCAAUGGGGGGCACAAUGGGGUCAGUGGGGCACAAUGGGGUCAGUGGGGCACAAUGGGGUCAGAUGUGGGGCACAAUGGGGUCAAUGUGGCACAAUUGGGCGUCAUGUGGGGACAACUGGGCGUCAGAUAUGGGGCACAAUGGGCAAUGUGGGCA